CCUACGGGUGGCAGCAGUGGGGAAUAUUGGACAAUGGGGGCAACCCUGAUCCAGCCAUGCCGCGUGUGUGAAGAAGGCCCUCGGGUUGUAAAGCACUUUCAGUGAGGAAGAACGCCUGGUGGUUAAUACCCAUCAGGAAAGACAUCACUCACAGAAGAAGCACCGGCUAACUCCGUGCCAGCAGCCGCGGUAAUACGGAGGGUGCGAGCGUUAAUCGGAAUUACUGGGCGUAAAGCGCGCGUAGGUGGCUUGAUAAGCCGGUUGUGAAAGCCCCGGGCUCAACCUGGGAACGGCAUCCGGAACUGUCAAGCUAGAGUGCAGGAGAGGAAGGUAGAAUUCCCGGUGUAGCGGUGAAAUGCGUAGAGAUCGGGAGGAAGACCAGUGGCGAAGGCGGCCUUCUGGACUGACACUGACACUGAGGUGCGAAAGCGUGGGUAGCAAACAGGAUUAGAUACCCCUGUAGUC
rnacentral:rRNA from 1 species